GAAGUGCCCGCGACUCCACUGAUUGUCGGGACUACAUUUCCCAGAAUCCCCCGGACCCGCCCGCGUGAGCCAAAAUGACCACGACUCCACUGAACGUUUGGACUGCGCUCAGAACGCUGAGGGAAAAACGUUCAGAAUCUCACCCUUCAGGGAAAGCGCUGGGACUCCGCGGUGAUCCUUGACUACGAUUUCCGCAAUGCCAAUGGGGAACGAAUCCUAUAUCUCUGAGCGCCUAGUAGGGAAUGUGGACUGUGACCCUGAGGAUCGUCCUUCCCUCUCCCUGAGUCCUUGAGCGAAAAUACUGAACAGACAGGAAUUCCUGAAGUCUAAACUCCUCCCAGGACUACAGGAGCGUUAUUGGAAAGCGAGGAGAUCCAAUCUUCAAGGAAUAAACGAGGAAUGACUUUUUAGGGGUCAGUAGAUGAUUGAUGAUUGAUUACUAUAAACUGAUAAUAUAAGGCUAAAACUAAAAGUUUAAAGAAUGAGCAAGGUACAAUGAUUUGGGAGAGGCAAUGAAGAACAGAGGCGCCAGGCCCUACUCUGGACGCUGUGGUACCACUGGUUUGGCAGGAAAGGGCCAGUGGGGAAGCCUCGUCCUCAUGGAAAAGCUAUCUUCCUUCAUUACACUUUUCGUGGUAUUAUGUCUACUGAAGAGGGAAUAUUCAGAGUCCUGAGUGAUGCAGUCCGAGGGAAAGCAGAAUCCUGCCUGGAAAGUACCAGGGAAAGCAGAGAAAGAGACAUGAAAGUGUGGCCAGGGAUGCCGUCCGCCAACACGAAUGUGUAUUGUAAAUGAACACAUGAAUGUUCACAACAGCAUCAUUCAUAGUAACCCAAAACUGCACACCAACAAAUGCCCUCCUAUGAGUACAGGGAUAGACAAAUUGUGGCCUAUUCUUACAAUGGAAUCUUAUUUGGAAAUUAAAAGGAAUGAAGUACUGUUCAUGCUACACCA